AGCAACCUGCUCGGGACCCCUCUCUGUGACUGUGAGCUGUUCUGUUCUUUUGCCUAUUAAACUCCUGCUCCAAACUCACUCGAUGUGUGUGUGCAUGUCCUUGACCUCAAUAUCUGGUCGUGUGACCAAGAACCUCAGUAUUCACCCCAGACAACAAGGCUGCUUCAUUUUGAGGGCUCGUCUGGGAUUUGAAGGUGACUUCAUCAGAAUGGACUGUUGUCCUCUAAGGAAAGUCUCUGGCUGACAAACAAUUGCCUCCUCAAAUACCAAGCUUUGCUGCUAAAGGGAUCUGCAGUCCAGCUGAAAACCUGCCCUUGCCUGAGCCCAGCCACUUUCUCCCAGAGAAAACUGGAGAACCUAAACAUGAUUGUGAACAGAAACCAUCAAGCUUCAGAUGGUGCUGAAAAUGGAGCCGAAAAUGAAACUGCCCUCCUACGAGGGACCCUUAAAUCAACCCCAGGAGGAGCCCUAGCUGCUGUUCCCCACACAACGCCACUCUCCAGCAGGAAGUAGCCAGAAGAAAUCGUCACCCAGUUUCCCCUAGCAGCAGUUAUGGAUUUCAUUCCUGAGGGGGGAAAUAUGUUAUAGGAGGCAGAAAGAAAUGAUUUAGGUAGACAUUUAGGGUAAAGUGAGUCCCCAGCAGAAAACUUUCCUUUUAACAAAAAGCAGCUCAAAAAUAGCUCCCUUUCUAACCUCAUGCAGUUCAAAAAAAAAGCACUUCUCUUCUAACAACAAGCAGCCUGAAAGUUCAGGCUGUAAAACACAGAGAAGAUGGCUUGAGCACAGAAAGGGAGGGGGAAGUCUCCUGGGUAAUCACCAAACUUCACAUUUACACAGUGGGCCCCAGUAAAACAGUGGGUCUUAAUAAGCAUAUUCCUUCCCUUUAGGCGCAGUAAGAUUGAGGAGCUAAAAACAGACUUGGGUGGAUGUCUGCAGCUGCAAGAAGAUGUGUGGGAACAGACACAGAAACUCUCCCUCCCAGAUAAGCAAGACAAAGAAACACAGAAUAAGAGUCCAUCUAUGUGGUCAGAGAAUGGGAUAAGAGCUGAUUUAAAAAAACUCUGCUCUAUAUAGAAGGCACACCUGGUCCCAACCAAACCACUGGACCCUAGGAGGAUAAGACCUCCUCUGCUCAUGAGCCCCCUCCUCAGUAGCCCAUUUAUAAAAACCCUGACAAUUUUACUACCACUUGGCAACCCGCUCGGGACCCCUCUCUGUGAUGGAGAGCUGUUCUUUUCUUUUGCCUAUUAAACUCCUGCUCCAAA
rnacentral:lncRNA from 1 species